rnacentral:rRNA from 1 species
UACGAAGGGGGGCUAGCGUUGCUCGGAAUCACUGGGCGUAAAGCGCACGUAGGCGGCUUUCUAAGUCAGGGGGUGAAAUCCUGGAGCUCAACUCCAGAACUGCCUUUGAUACUGGAGAGCUCGAGUCCGGAAGAGGUGAGUGGAAUUCCGAGUGUAGAGGUGAAAUUCGUAGAUAUUCGGAGGAACACCAGUGGCGAAGGCGGCUCACUGGUCCAUUACUGACGCUGAGGUGCGAAAGCGUGGGGAGCAAACAGG